AUACGUAGGUGACAAGCGUUAUCCGGAUUUACUGGGUGUAAAGGGCGUGUAGGCGGUUUAGCAAGUCAGAAGUGAAAUUCCCGGGCUUAACUUGGGCGCUGCUUCUGAAACUGCUUUACUUGAGUGCUGGAGAGGAUAGUGGAAUUCCUAGUGUAGCGGUAAAAUGCACAGAUAUUAGGAGUAACACCGGUGGCGAAGGCGGCUAUCUGGACAGUAACUGACGCUGAGGCGCGAAAGCACAGGGAGCAAACAGGAUUAGAUACCCUGGUAGUCCGUGCCGUAAACGAUGAAUACUAGGUGUAGGGGGUAUCGACUCCCUCUGUGCCGCAGUUAACACAUUAAGUAUUCCACCUGGGGAGUACGGCCGCAAGGUUGAAACUCAAAUGAAUUGACGGGG
rnacentral:rRNA from 1 species